rnacentral:rRNA from 1 species
AACGAACGCUGGCGGCGUGCUUAACACAUGCAAGUCGAACGCGAAAGGGACUUCGGUCCUGAGUAAAGUGGCGCACGGGUGAGUAACGCGUAGAUAACCUGUCUUCAUGUCUGGAAUAAUACGCCGAAAGGGGUACUAAUACCGGAUAUUCUUGCUUUUCAUAAGUUAUGCAAGCAAAGGUGGCCUCUGCAUAUGCUACUGCAUGAAGAGGGGUCUGCGUACCAUUAGCUAGUAGGUGGGGUAAUGGCCUACCUAGGCGACGAUGGUUAGCGGGUCUGAGAGGAUGAUCCGCCACACUGGCACUGGAACACGGGCCAGACUCCUACGGGAGGCAGCAGUGAGGAAUAUUGCGCAAUGGGGAAACCCUGACGCAGCGACGCCGCGUGAGUGAAGGAAGGCCUUCGGGUCGUAAAGCUCUGUCAAGAGGAAAGAAGUGUACAAUGGCUAAUACCUGUUGUAUUUGACGGUACCUCUAAAGGAAGCACCGGCUAACUCCGUGCCAGCAGCAGC